rnacentral:tRNA from 1 species
GGCCUCAUAGUUCAAUGGAUAGAACGAAAGUUUCCUAAACUUUAGAUAUAGGUUCGAUUCCUAUUGAGGCCAC